ACACGUAAGCAACCUACCCUAAAGACGAGGAUAACCAUUGGAAACAGUGGCUAAGAAUGGAUAGGAAGAUAAAAGGCAUCUUGUAUCUUUUAAAAGACCUAGUAAUAGGUAUGCUUUAGGAGGGGCUUGCGCCAUAUUAGUUAGUUGGUAGGGUAAUGGCCUACCAAGACGAUGAUGUGUAGCUGGACUGAGAGGUUGAACAGCCACAUUGGGACUGAGACACGGCCCAAACUCCUACGGGAGGCAGCAGUAGGGAAUUUUCGGCAAUGGAGGAAACUCUGACCGAGCAACGCCGCGUGAAUGACGAAGUACUUCGGUAUGUAAAGUUCUUUUAUCGAGGAAGAAAAGCAAAUGGCGAACCAUUUGUUUGCCGGUACUUGAUGAAUAAGCCCCGGCUAAUUAUGUGCCAGCAGCCGCGGUAAGACAUAAGGGGCAAGUGUUAUCCGGAAUUAUUGGGCGUAAAGGGUGCGUAGGCGGUCUAGUAAGUCAGUGGUGUAAUGGCAACGCUUAACGUUGUCCGGCUAUUGAAACUGCUAAACUUGAGUUAGAUAGAGGCGAGUGGAAUUCCAUGUGUAGCGGUAAAAUGCGUAAAUAUAUGGAGGAACACCAGAGGCGUAGGCGGCUCGCUGGGUCUUAACUGACGCUGAGGCACGAAAGCGUGGGGAGCAAACAGGAUUAGAUACCCUGGUAGUCCACGCCGUAAACGAUGAGUACUAAGUGUCGGGUUAAACCGGUACUGAAGUUAACACAUUAAGUACUCCGCCUGAGUAGUACGUACGCAAGUAUGAAACUUAAAGGAAUUGACGGGACUCCGCACAAGCGGUGGAUCAUGUUGUUUAAUUCGAAGAUACCCGAAAAACCUUACCAGGUCUUGACAUGUUUUUGCAAAAUGAUAGUAAUAUCGUGGAGGUUACCAGAAACACAGGUGGUGCAUGGUUGUCGUCAGCUCGUGUCGUGAGAUGUUAGGUUAAGUCCUAAAACGAGCGAAACCCUUAUCGUUAGUUGCCAGCACGUUAUGGUGGGGACUUUAACGAGACUGCCAAUGAUAAAUUGGAGGAAGGUGAGGAUCACGUCAAAUCAGCAUGCCCCUUAUGACCUGGGCUACAAACGUGAUACAAUGGCUGUUACAAAGGGUAGCUGAAACGCAAGUUCUUGGCCAAUCCCCAAAAACAGUCCCAGUCCGGAUUGAAGUCUGCAACUCGACUUCAUGAAGUUGGAAUCGCUAGUAAUCGCGAAUCAGCAUGUCGCGGUGAAUACGUUCUCGGGGUUUGUACACACCGCCCGUCAAACCACGAAAGUUGGCAAUACCCCAAAACGGUAGCCUAACUCG
rnacentral:rRNA from 1 species